UCUAGCUUAGCAUAUAUUAAUGUGAAGGGUUGUAAACUCUUUUAAGACUUUUAUUUUAGUCAGUUAGGA
rnacentral:tRNA from 1 species